rnacentral:rRNA from 1 species
AUUGAACGCUGGCGGCAGGCUUAACACAUGCAAGUCGAGCGGAGUGAUGGUGCUUGCACUAUCACUUAGCGGCGGACGGGUGAGUAAUGCUUAGGAAUCUGCCUAUUAGUGGGGGACAACAUCUCGAAAGGGAUGCUAAUACCGCAUACGUCCUACGGGAGAAAGCAGGGGAUCACUUGUGACCUUGCGCUAAUAGAUGAGCCUAAGUCGGAUUAGCUAGUUGGUGGGGUAAAGGCCUACCAAGGCGACGAUCUGUAGCGGGUCUGAGAGGAUGAUCAGCCACACUGGGACUGAGACACGGCCCAGACUCCUACGGGAGGCAGCAGUGGGGAAUAUUGGACAAUGGGGGGAACCCUGAUCCAGCCAUGCCGCGUGUGUGAAGAAGGCCUUAUGGUUGUAAAGCACUUUAAGCGAGGAGGAGGCUCUUCUGGUUAAUACCCAGGAUGAGUGGACGUUACUCGCAGAAUAAGCACCGGCUAACUCUGUGCCAGCCGCCGCCGUAAAAC